rnacentral:lncRNA from 1 species
UUAUAUUUGUGUUUAUUUUUUACUACAAUAAAUAUUACAAUUAACAAUAAUAUUAAUUUUAUUACUAUAAAAAUUAAUACAAUAACAAUAUAAAUAAUUAAAAAUAGUGCACUAGUAUUUCAUCUAGAAAUUUCUCUAAAAAUAAUUAGAAACAUAGAUGCAGAUUGAAGUAGCUAAUAAUAAGAGAAGCUAAGACAAGUGGGAAGAGAUCUGACCGAACUCGGAGAACCAUUUGUGAUAGUGUGGGAGAACUCUGCUAGUGAUAUCAUGGCAAUUCGUAUCCAAAACCUUUUCAUUUGCAAGCUUCUUCAUCUUCUUUACUUCAUCAAGGCAACCAUAGAGAAGCUUGUAAGGUGGGCCUCUGAUUCCCUGCUUUUGAAAGGUCUUAGUAAUCGCAUAUGGCCUCCACACCACAAUCUUAAGAACCUCCCAAAGCUUUCUAACAAUUAAAACAAUCAGCAGACCCACCAACGCAACCGCUGCGUAACCCAUCAUCAAGGGCUACCUAAAGAAGUUGAUGAUAUGAAAAGAUUAGCAGCUGUAGUUGGUUUAUAUAAUCUACUGGGUAUCAGCAUUCACCACCAUGCACAGUUAUGGAGGCAAAAGUUGACGGUGAUAUCAUUGCUUUGGUGCGCAUGGAGUGGGGGACAAAUUAAUUUUGUGGAUGAUAUGGCUUCGUCUAUCGCUAGAUUUGUCAUUUUUUGAGGCUCUUAUCGGGCUGCAUGUCUCAUCAGUUCUGUGCCUGCACCGCACUCUCCCAGAACUGGAUGGAUAUAUUAAAUGCGCUUUGGCUCAUUUUCCAUUUUAAAUAUUUUUCUAACAAAUAUUUCAUUGCCCCAUAAAAAUUAGGGUGACUUCUAUUUUUCACGUUGUUUAUUAAGGAAUAUAUAAUAAAAUCAAUAAAUUUUGUUCAUUUCUUUCCUAAUGAACUUCUCAUUCAUAUUAAUUCACUAAAAAUUAAAUAAUUCAUAUUACUAAUUUAUACUUGAAAUUAAUGAAUUUUACCUUCAGAAUACAUAUUAAAUAGGAAUAUACUAACUAGUUAAUAAAUAAAGUAUAAUAUAAAAAGUAAUUUAUAUAAUUUGAGCCAAAUAAAAAAAAAAGAAAGUAAUUGGUAUGUCCUAUAUAAUGGAUGGAGCAUUUAAUUUAUCAUAAGAUAUACAAAAAAUAUUUUUUAAAUUACAUUUGAAUAUAAAUAACUGCAUACCGGUAAUGACAAUAUAAAAUUUAUAUAAUUUUAAAAUUCUACUUCAUUAAUAACAGGUGGUCUGUGCCUCAUCGAUGAAUUAAUCUGCAAUCUUUCUCACUAGUAAAUAAAAAAUAUAAUAAAAUUAUUAAAUAUGAAUAUCUGAAUUAUGAUUUGAUUUAAUAGGUAGAUGAAUAAACCGUAAUUUAUUUGAUAAGUAAAGAGAUUUCAUGUGAAUCUCUCCAUACUCGUUUUUAAAGAAAUAGCCUAUAAAAUAUAAAAAAAUAAAUUUAUCGAUAUGUCUCGAUAAGCAAUCUCACCAUUAACGCAUUAUUAAAGAAUACUAAGAAAUUAAUAUGAAAUUGAAAUAAUAUUGAGUGAAGAACCCACUUUUAUUGCAUUUAUAUGUAUUUGGUAUUAGUUGGAUUUCAGCUAUAAGACUUGCUCCACUCUUACCUAAGCAGAGAUUUAACGAUAAUGGGUAGACCAUAUUGGGGAUGCAGAGUAACAUGGUCGAUUGGGGCGUGUUUAUACUCAGGGGAGAGGGAUAGGGAAAAUCUUUGAAGAAUCAAUGCAACCACAGUUUUUGCUUCCAGCAUUGCAAAAUUCUGCCCGAUGCACACUCUGGGACCUAUUGAAAACGCCAACAAGGCAUUCGGGUGUUUUCCUGCCUUAGAGACUCCAUUGGCGAACCUCAAUGGCUUGAACUCAUUCGCAUCCUCUCCCCAGUAUUCCUUGCUCCUGUGAAUCUUUACAAACGGAAUUGUUAAACAUGUUUCUUUUGGUAUCAUCAAAUUCCCCAGUUUCAUAUCUUCUGGUGCCUUCCUGAUCAACAUUAUCACUGGACAGUACAAUCUCAGAACCUCGAGCAGGAACAUGUUAACAAAUUUUAACUUAGAUAGCAUGUCUGCAUCAGGAAUUCCCAUCCCACAUUCCUUCAACACUUCUUCUCUAAGUUUUUCGUGCCAUUCUGGGUGUGUGCUCAACAAAAAGACUGACCAAGUUAGUAAACUGGAUGUGGUCUCGUGCCCAGCAAAGAAGAAUGAUUUGCAAUUUUCCAUGAUUUCCUUCAUGUUCAACUUUGGAGUAACUUUAGAAUCGCCAUCAGCUUCUGCUACUGAAGAUUCAAUCAUUAUACCAAGUAGAUCGUCCCCAUAAUGACCAUCUGUAGCAGCCUUUGCACUUAAUCUACUUUCUAUGAUAACCUUCAAUGAGUUCUUCAGCUUCCUGCUUAACUUCCACGUCUGAAGAUUCGAUGGCGUAGGCAGAUACCUACAAGGACCCAGAAUCAGAAGAAGAUCAAUAUAUUGGCCUGGAAGUGUAAGGGAUUGAAUAAACAAUUAGAACAUGGUUAGGGUUCAAGUUUAUUACUGGCUACCGGGGAUGAAAAUAUCAGUAUCUGAAGCAACGCAACAUGUUUGAAGCUCUUUUAGGGCUUUAAAGACUUCCUUUCCCUCGACGUAACUGCUGCCGAAGGCAGUGUGGGCAAUAAUAUCAGCAGUAAGCUUCUGAAAAUUUGCAUUCAUCUCUAUCUUGAUACGUUGCUCUUCAGUCAAUCCAGCAAGAAUUUUCCACUCAUCAAGCAUUGAAAUGGUGCAUUCUGCCAUUUUCUUUGUCAUAAUCUGCUAGGCACAAGACCAAUAGACGUAAAAAUUAAGGAAAAUUCUACACUAGUUUAUGAAAAAGAACUCAUGAUGAUGAUAAAUAUAUUAAAGGUUGAAUUUGAGACCUUGAGCUUGUCAAUGGAGAAAGCAGGAUUGAGAACCCUUCUGUGCCUGACCCAAUCCAGUCCCUCUGCAAAAACCAAUCCAUCCCCGAUGAGAUUUCGUAAAAUUGGCCUUGUCUUGGGUUUGACAUAAAAGCCGAACUUGUUUGAUAGUAUUUGUUUGGCCAGCUCUGGGUUUGUUAUUGUGAUUCUUGGCUGUGUACCAUACCAGUAUAGCAGCGUAUCACCUGUGACAAUGAAAAUUACCCAUAACUGAAUAAAAUUUAACAAAGGGAGGAAAAGGAAAGGAAUGGAAAUUCUACAAAAUUAGAUGACUCUUAAUUGAGAUAACAAGGAGGCUUCUCUCAACAUUUUUUAAGAAUAAUAAAUAAAUAUUUAUUUUAACCGAUUAAAAAUUAAAGAAAAUGGUUUAAAAAAUAUUUAUUGUGAAAAAUACCAACUCUUGGGAUUAUUAAAUACUUAUUGAAUUUAUUAAUUUAAUUUUAAUUCUUCAAUUUCUUUUUUUAAGGAGAACAUAGAAAUAAAUAUGAAAAAGAAGAAUAAAUCGGAAAUAAAUAACUUAGAAAGAGAUGAAUUGAAAUUUUAAAUUUGUAGACCUUUGGGAAUCAAAUUGUAAAAUAUCAAAUUUUUAAUUUUUAAAUUUGAUUUAAAAAGACCUAUUUUACCAAUCACUUUAUUUUUUACUCCAAACUAAAUAGUGAUAUUAAAUAUAAAUGUGUAAAAAAAUAUGUGCAUAUAUAAUUUGGUUUAUAUUUCUAUUUAUUUUUUACUACAAUAAAUAUUAUAAUUAGCAAUAAAAAAUUUACAAUAAUAUUAAUUUUAUUACUAUAAAAAUUAAUACAAUAACAGUAUAAAUAAUUAAAAAUAUUGCACUAGUAUUUCAUCUAGAAAUUUCUUUAAGAAUAAUAUGCAGAUUGAAGUAGCUAAUAAGAGAAGCAAAGACAAGUGGGAAGAGAUCUGACCGAACUCGGAGAACCAUUUAUGAUAGUGUGGGAGAACUCUGCUAGUGAUAUCAUUGCAAUUCGUAUCCAAAACUUUUUCAUUUGCAAGCUUCUUCAUCUUCUUCACUUCAUCAAGGCAACCAUAGAGAAGCUUGUAAGGUGGGCCUCUGAUUCCCUGCUUUUCAAAGGUCUUAGUAAUCGCAUAUGGCCUCAACACCACAAUCUUAAGCACCUCCCAGAGCUUUCUAACAAUUAAAACAAUCAGCAGAGCCACCAACGCAACCGCUGCGUAACCCAUCAUCAAGGGCUAGCUAAAGAAG